UGGGGAAUUUUGGACAAUGGGCGAAAGCCUGAUCCAGCAAUGCCGCGUGUGUGAAGAAGGCCUUCGGGUUGUAAAGCACUUUUGUCCGGAAAGAAAUCCUUGGCUCUAAUACAGUCGGGGGAUGACGGUACCGGAAGAAUAAGCACCGGCUAACUACGUGCCAGCAGCCGCGGUAAUACGUAGGGUGCAAGCGUUAAUCGGAAUUACUGGGCGUAAAGCGUGCGCAGGCGGUUUGCUAAGACCGAUGUGAAAUCCCCGGGCUCAACCUGGGAACUGCAUGGUGACUGGCAGGCUAGAGUAUGGCAGAGGGGGGUAGAAUUCCACGUGUAGCAGUGAAAUGCGUAGAGAUGUGGAGGAAUACCGAUGGCGAAGGCAGCCCCCUGGGCCAAUACUGACGCUCAUGCACGAAAGCGUGGGGAGCAAACAGGAUUAGAUACCCUGGUAGUCCACGCCCUAAACGAUGUCAACUAGUUGUUGGGGAUUCAUUUCCUUAGUAACGUAGCUAACGCGUGAAGUUGACCGCCUGGGGAGUACGGUCGCAAGAUU
rnacentral:rRNA from 1 species